rnacentral:rRNA from 1 species
CCGGCGCACGGGUGAGUAACGCGUAUGCAACUUACUAUCAGGAGGGGGAUAACCCGGCGAAAGUCGGACUAAUACCGCAUGAAGCAGGGAUCCCGCAUGGGAAUAUUUGCUAAAGAUUCAUCGCUGAUAGAUAGGCAUGCGUUCCAUUAGGCAGUUGGCGGGGUAACGGCCCACCAAACCGACGAUGGAUAGGGGUUCUGAGAGGAAGGUCCCCCACAUUGGUACUGAGACACGGACCAA